rnacentral:rRNA from 1 species
AUUGAACGCUGGCGGCAGGCUUAACACAUGCAAGUCGAGCGAGCGGCGGACGGGUGAGUAAUGUCUGGGAAACUGCCCGGUAGCGGGGGAUAACUACUGGAAACGGUAGCUAAUACCGCAUACCAUCAGAUGUGCCCAUAUGGGAUUAGCUAGUAGGUGGGGUAAUGGCUCACCUAGGCGACGAUCCCUAGCUGGUCUGAGAGGAGGACCAGCCACACUGGAACUGAGACACGGCCCAGACUCCUACGGGAGGCAGCAGUGGGGAAUAUUGCACAAUGGGGGAAACCCUGAUGCAGCCAUGCCGCGUGUGUGAAGAAGGCCUUCGGGUUGUAAAGUACUUUCAGCGAGGAGGCGUUACCCGCAGAAGAAGCACCGGCUAACUCCGUGCCAGCAGCCGCGGUAAUAC